UUGUGACAUCAUGACUAUCCCCAUGGAAAGUGGUUAGUUUCAUAAACUCUGAAUGAAGACACAAGCAAAGGACCAAGAUGCUGUGAGGCUUACCUCCCCAGUAGAGUGAGAAGCCUGAAGGAAUUUUCCCUAGAGGCGUAACAGAGGCUCCCCGGAUUAGGAGAUGCCAUCACAGCUGAGGGCACGGUACUCUCUGCCAAAAGAACCAUAUGUGUGCUGAUGCUGAGACUCUCAGCCUUCUUCUCCCACAGAGAAGAACGUGGCAGCCAAACACUCAUCUUCCUUGAAGGGGAGCAGAAAAUCUUCUCCAGGGAAUCUGAUCAGCUCAAGAAGAAAGGUGUUUAGAUACUGACUUCAGGUCUUUCUGAAAACACAGGUCGAGUUUCUGUUCUCCAUGUCCUGCCUGGAUCAGAAGGAACCUGUUACUCACAGAAGUCCUAGCCUUUAGAGCUGGAAGAAGAAAAACUUAAAUAACAAAUACUCCUCUACUGUCUAUAGGAACUGUUGUAACAAGAUGGCACAGCCUGGGAAGUUUAAACAACAGAAGUUCAAGAUCAAGGUGUCUUCAAGUCUGACUUCUACUCAGGUCCCUGUCCUUGACUUGCAGUCUUAUGACCGUGUCCUCACAUGGUCUCUGUAACACAUUUCUCUGGUGUUUAUCUGUGUGUCCAAAUUUCUUCUUAUAAUAAAAAUACCCACUAAA